GCAAACAAGGGUGUCAGCACAGGAGUUAAGAAAUCCCUGCCCACGAAACCUGGGAUGUGUUGCAUGAGCACGGGAACAUUCCUCGUUUCUUGUUUCCUCCCCCUGCCUUGACCUUGGGCCCAUUUGCGAUCCCGUUGCGCAAACGGGUCUCGCAACCCAGCUCCUGUUUCCAGCAGAAAAUCCUCGCCUCUGGAGGGGCAGGCAGAGGCCAGCCCUGCCCUGGCACCAGCCUGGGCUCCAGGGAGGAGGGGAUGGCACAAUUCCUGCGUGCUGCUGGGCAGUGCUGCUCACGUGGAGCUGGAGCUGCUCCGCACCGAGAUGAUUUCCUGAGCCGGAGCCUCCCCUGGGAGCUGGAGUGGAUCCAGGAGAGGGUUAUUCCGGAUAAUUGCCCUGCUGGAGCUGCUCGUGUCCAGCUCUCUAGAAACACAUCCCGGCGUCUCCAUGGAAGGCUCCAGAAAGAGAAAGCCUGGAAGUUGCCACAUUGAAGAACCAUGAGUUGAGUAUUUCUGGUGCUGCCUUUCACUGACCUGAGGAUGGAACAAAGAUUAGGAAUUACCAUUUUCAUCAAAAUUCGUGUUCAUUUUGAAAAUAAAUCAGAUUUUUCACGGUGUGUCUGCA
rnacentral:lncRNA from 1 species